AACGAACGCUGGCGGCAUGCCUAACACAUGCAAGUCGAACGAGACCUUCGGGUCUAGUGGCGCACGGGUGCGUAACGCGUGGGAACCUGCCCUUAGGUUCGGAAUAACUCCCCGAAAGGGGUGCUAAUACCGGAUAAUGUCUUCGGACCAAAGAUUUAUCGCCUUUGGAUGGGCCCGCGUUGGAUUAGCUAGUUGGUAGGGUAAAAGCCUACCAAGGCGAGGAUCCAUAGCUGGUCUGAGAGGAUGAUCAGCGACACUGGGACUGAGACACGGCCCAGAAUCCUACGGGAGGCAGCAGUGGGGAAUAUUGGACAAUGGGCGAAAGCAUGAUGCAGCAAUGACGCGUGAGUGAUGAAGGCCUUAGGGUUGUAAAGCUCCUUUACCCGGGAUGAUAAUGACAGUACCGGGAGAAUAAGCCCCGGCUAACUACGUG
rnacentral:rRNA from 1 species